rnacentral:rRNA from 1 species
GGGUGAGUAACACGUGGAUAACCUACCUAUAAGACUGGGAUAACUUCGGGAAACCGGAGCUAAUACCGGAUAAUAUAUUGAACCGCAUGGUUCAAUAGUGAAAGACGGUUUUGCUGUCACUUAUAGAUGGAUCCGCGCCGCAUUAGCUAGUUGGUAAGGUAACGGCUUACCAAGGCGACGAUGCGUAGCCGACCUGAGAGGGUGAUCGGCCACACUGGAACUGAGACACGGUCCAG